rnacentral:lncRNA from 1 species
GGUGGAUUACGAUAUUUUCAUUUCCUUAUGGAAUUGGAAUAGGAAUGAGACUUCUCUCGAUUAAAUGGCUGGAAUACAAGUUGCCUGUUGUGGACCUCCACUUUGGCCUCGAUCGAUUAAGUCCUCGGCCUUCUCCAAGGACCAUCAGAGUUCGUAUUUCAGUAGACACAAGAGCAGAUAUAAGAGGGUGCUUCCAGCUGUAGACAUGGAAAUCGGAACCAACAUGUUUGCAGGGCAAUCACUAGACUGCAGCUUGGACCUCGGCCAUGGCCAAGGUGUGCGAAGGUCGGCCAAAGCCGAGCUUAGGAAGAUAUGCAGAGCAACAGCAACUAAUAUAUGAAAAGUCCACCACUGUCAUAAUUUUGGAAAGUCCAGAUAAGGAAGGUAUCGCCCAAUUUGAAUCACAUCCCGAAUGGAAAUAACUGCUGCCAGCAUGAUCCAUGUGCAAUAACAAAAAAUCGGUUAGUCUCCUAGGUAUGCAUGACUCCAAUUCCUCCUCUAUAAAUAGAGGGGCACAGAAACUCCCAAGGUAAGCACUUGAAGUAUCAUUUUCUCCUUCUUAUUCUUCAUCUCUUAACUUGAGCAUCAGAGGAUCUUCACAGAAAAACACCCUGAUCAGGACUUUUUGCAGAUCUCCAGGUAGCCUUCGGAGAUCACCGUGCUACACCACUCAAGCACCACAACUGAAGAGAUCGUCUAUGAUCUCAGACAUGGGAUUUGAUAGCAAUAGUUGGUGCUAGAGGAAGGACCCUCAAAUUUUAGUUUUGAGGCUUGAACUUGAGGAGGAGAGACUCACCAUGAGGUUGUAAAGAGGAGAAUCGAAUGCAACUCAUCGAUCGAACAGAGCACGGACCAACAAUGAUCGCCAAGAGGAUGAAGCACCCGAGCCGAUUCAAGAGAAUCCUCCCCCAUAACCAGUGUUAGUAAUUUUGAACGAACAGUACAACAGCUUUGUCCCGUAGGUACAGGGUGUGUCUAUUGCAGUGCAGAGGAUGCAGCAAACCACUGCACCUCAGCCUCCCUCGAAGAUCCCACAAGACAAUGCCAUACCAAUAAACUAACCUUCACCCCCAUGUAGUCCAAGACCAGGUGCCAGCCGCCUUAGUCGACCAACUAGUCCUAUCUGAAGAAGACACAAGUGCUCACUAACCCCACUGUUGAGGAGGGAUACUACACCAGGCAACUUUUUUCCUCAUCAUCAUUUUGCUUGGGAGGAUGACAUGGAAAGAAAGCUCUAAGAGAUGCA